UAAUACGGAGGGUGCAAGCGUUAAUCGGAAUUACUGGGCGUAAAGAGCGCGUAGGCGGUUUGUUAAGUCGGGUGUGAAAUCCCUGGGCUCAACCUGGGAACUGCAUUCGAUACUGGCAAGCUAGAGUACGAUAGAGGGGGGUAGAAUUCCCGGUGUAGCGGUGAAAUGCGUAGAUAUCGGGAGGAAUACCAGUGGCGAAGGCGACCCCCUGGAUUGAUACUGACGCUGAGGCGCGAAAGCGUGGGGAGCAAACAGG
rnacentral:rRNA from 1 species